UAUUUGAUUUAAAAUUUAAUUUUGAUCCAUUUUAAUAUUUAAAUUUAAAUGCGAUGAUAUGUUUAAUUCAAAAUUAUGAUAGAUUGAGAGAAUUUUUGAGAAAUGAUGAGAAAAGAUUAGAAGAGAUAUUUGAGAAAUGCGUAGAUAUUACGUGCGUGGAUAUUAUGUAUGAGAAAGGUUAAUUGGAUAUUAUAUAUAUAUAUAUAUAUGUGUGUGUGUGUGUGUGUGUGUGUGUGUGUGUGUGUGUGUGUUGUAUUAGAUUUUCUUGCUAGCUAAUUAAAGUGGAUUAAUAUUUUCUGAUUUAAUUUAUU
rnacentral:lncRNA from 1 species